GUAGGGAAUCUUCGGCAAUGGACGAAAGUCUGACCGAGCAACGCCGCGUGAGUGAAGAAGGUUUUCGGAUCGUAAAACUCUGUUGUUAGAGAAGAAUGUUGAUUAGAGUGGAAAAUUAAUCAAGUGACGGUAUCUAACCAGAAAGGGACGGCUAACUACGUGCCAGCAGCCGCGGUAAUACGUAGGUCCCGAGCGUUGUCCGGAUUUAUUGGGCGUAAAGCGAGCGCAGGUGGUUUAAUAAGUCUGAUGUAAAAGGCAGUGGCUCAACCAUUGUGUGCAUUGGAAACUGUUAGACUUGAGUGCAGUAGAGGAGAGUGGAAUUCCAUGUGUAGCGGUGAAAUGCGUAGAUAUAUGGAGGAACACCGGUGGCGAAAGCGGCUCUCUGGACUGUCACUGACACUGAGGCUCGAAAGCGUGGGUAGCAAACAGGAUUAGAAACCCUGGUAGUCC
rnacentral:rRNA from 1 species